GAUGAACGCUGGCGGCGUGCCUAAUACAUGCAAGUCGAGCGAACAGACGAGGAGCUUGCUCCUCUGACGUUAGCGGCGGACGGGUGAGUAACACGUGGAUAACCUACCUAUAAGACUGGGAUAACUUCGGGAAACCGGAGCUAAUACCGGAUAAUAUAUUGAACCGCAUGGUUCAAUAGUGAAAGACGGUUUUGCUGUCACUUAUAGAUGGAUCCGCGCCGCAUUAGCUAGUUGGUAAGGUAACGGCUUACCAAGGCAACGAUGCGUAGCCGACCUGAGAGGGUGAUCGGCCACACUGGAACUGAGACACGGUCCAGACUCCUACGGGAGGCAGCAGUAGGGAAUCUUCCGCAAUGGGCGAAAGCCUGACGGGGCAAUGCCGCGUGAGUGAUGAAGGUCUUCGGAUCGUAAAACUCUGUUAUUAGGGAAGAACAAAUGUGUAAGUAACUAUGCACGUCUUGACGGUACCUAAUCAGAAAGCCACGGCUAACUACGUG
rnacentral:rRNA from 1 species